UACGUAGGAGGCGAGCGUUGUCCGGAGUUACUGGGCGUAAAGGGUGCGCAGGCGGCGGUUCGCGUGGCGAGAUGAAAUCUCCUGGCUUACCUGGGAGGAUGGUCGCCAGACGGGAUCGCUUGAGGGUCGGAGAGGGGCGUGGAAUUCCGGGUGGAGCGGUGAAAUGCGUAGAGAUCAGGAGGAAUACCGGUGGCGAAAGCGACUCUCUGGACGGCAACUGACGCUGAGGCACGAAAGCGUGGGGAGCAAACAGG
rnacentral:rRNA from 1 species